CUUACCACUGACUUGGGGCAUCCAGCCACCAGGUCCCCACUUUCCUGCCUUCACUUUGAGCACACAGCCCAGCGGACAGGAUGUCACCACUGGAAGCGUUCACAUUUUUCUCCUUCUGGGCUUCUGGACUUGGGUUAUCAAAAGUGGAGCAGGCCCAGAUAUCUCUUUCCACAGAAGUAAAGAAAAGUAUUGACAUACAUUGCAAGAUAGAGAGCACAAAUUUUGAAUCAGAAACUGUUUACUGGUACCGGCAGAAAAGGAAUCAGGCUUUGGAGCAUCUGGUUUAUGUGAUCUCAACCACAACUGCAGCUCGAAAUCAAGUAGACGGGAAGAACAAAAUUGAGGCAAGAAAAGACGCUCGAAUGUUCACUUCGACCCUUACGGUAAAUUUUGUAGAAAAAGAUGAUGUGGGCAUUUACUACUGUGCUGGUUGGAGCUCACGGCACUAG